rnacentral:rRNA from 2 species
UGGGGAAUAUUGGGCAAUGGGCGAAAGCCUGACCCAGCAACGCCGCGUGAAGGAAGAAGGUUUUCGGAUUGUAAACUUCUGUCCUCAGGGAAGAAGGAAGUGACGGUACCUGAGGAGGAAGCCCCGGCUAACUACGUGCCAGCAGCCGCGGUAAUACGUAGGGGGCGAGCGUUGUCCGGAAUGACUGGGCGUAAAGGGCGCGUAGACGGUUUUUUGAGUCUGGAGUGAAAGUCCUGCUUUCAAGGUGGGAAUUGCUUUGGAGACUGGGGGACUUGAGUGCGGAAGAGGUAAGUGGAAUUCCCGGUGUAGCGGUGAAAUGCAUAGAGAUCGGGAGGAACACCAGUGGCGAAGGCGGCUAACUGGACUGUAACUGACGCUGAAGCGCGAAAGUGUGGGGAGCAAACAGG